AUUGAACGCUGGCGGCAGGCCUAACACAUGCAAGUCGAGCGAGCGGCGGACGGGUGAGUAAUGGGUGGGAGACUGCCUGAUGGGGGGGGCUUACUACAGGAAACGGUAACUAAUCACGCAUACACUUGGCACUUGCCAGAGGGGAUUAGCUAGUAGGUGGGGUAACGGCUCACCUAGGCGACGAUCCCUAGCUGGUCUGCGAGGAUGACCAGCCAAACUGGAACUGAGAAACGGUCCAGACUCCUACGGGAGGCAGCAGUGGGGAAUAGUGCACAAUGGGCGCAAGCCUGAUGCAGCCAUGCCGCGUGUGGGAAGAAGGCCUUCGGGUUGUAAAGCACUUUCAGCGGGGAGGCGUUACCCGCAGAAGAAGCACCGGCUAACUCCGUGCCAGCCGCCGCGGUAAUAC
rnacentral:rRNA from 1 species